GGUUAAGCGACUAAGCGUACACGGUGGAUGCCCUGGCAGUCAGAGGCGAUGAAGGACGUGCUAAUCUGCGAUAAGCGUCGGUAAGGUGAUAUGAACCGUUAUAACCGGCGAUUUCCGAAUGGGGAAACCCAGUGUGAUUCGUCACACUAUCAUUAACUGAAUCCAUAGGUUAAUGAGGCGAACCGGGGGAACUGAAACAUCUAAGUACCCCGAGGAAAAGAAAUCAACCGAGAUUCCCCCAGUAGCGGCGAGCGAACGGGGAGCAGCCCAGAGCCUGAAUCAGUGUGUGUGUUAGUGGAAGCGUCUGGAAAGGCGCGCGAUACAGGGUGACAGCCCCGUACACAAAAAUGCACAUGCUGUGAGCUCGAUGAGUAGGGCGGGACACGUGGUAUCCUGUCUGAAUAUGGGGGGACCAUCCUCCAAGGCUAAAUACUCCUGACUGACCGA
rnacentral:rRNA from 1 species